GCAGAGUAGUGUUUGUUGUUUUAUUUUUGUUUUUAUUUUAUUUUUUUAGGCUUACCUCUAAUAUUCCCAGUUUGCGGUUAUUGCUUUAUACUGGAAGAGGGUGGCUCCCUGGGAAGAGUGGCAAAGUGUGCUAGGGGCGGUAUGAGUAAGUCCCCACUAAACAGCUUAAGGUGUCUGCCCGCAGCCUGCUUUUGUAUAGAGGCCUCUCUGCAUCGCCGCAUCAUAGUGCACAUACCACUUUUCCCCUGUGCUUGCGUUCUCCCCAUUCCGUGGUGUGGGUGGAAGUGCGGCUAGGGGAAGGGAAGCACUGGCGGGCGGAAGGGAGCGCUCGACAGUGGCGGCUGGCGGGCGGAAGUGCUGGGUGGCAGGCAUCCCUGGAGGAUUAGAGGGAAGCUCUGCACAAGUGCUGCAGCUCUAUGAUAAGGAGCUGUUUAAAAAAAAAAAAAGGCACUGCACACAGAGAUUCAGACUGCAGUGUCUCCCUGAAUGGCUGGGCAGGUUCCUGUGCAUACCAGCAGCAAUAUCAUGGAGGAGCCUUCUUCCCCAAAGCCAACUGUUGCCCUAAAGAGGAAGAAAUCUGAAGAUGUACAAAUCAUGUUUUUGCAAGACAUGUGUAAAAUAUAUCCAUUUACAGUAACUCCUCUACUGCUGCAAACUUGGAAAGAUCCAGAUAAAUCCAAUUUGUCUUACAAAGCAGACGAUAAUUAAGAAAUUAAGGUUUUGUAUCAGUGCUUUGUUUCUUUGUGCCUAAGAUUAAUGAAGAAAUCUUGGUCAAUGACUAAAAUCAUCGGUGACACUUCUGGAGACAUCUAGGAGAAUCUUAGAGACUGUCAUACUUGUAGAAUGAUUUGCAGUUGAGCCUAACACUGCUGGAUACAACUCCAUUUUAGGCAUGGAGCUAUGCUCAUAAAUGGCUGACACAAAGUAUUCUGAGAUGUGUUCUACUAUUAUUUCCAUUUUAAUUUCACAUUUUUAUUAUUUUUUAAUUAGGCUCUCAAAUAAUGACUUGCCAAUUCUUCAUUAACAUGACCUUAUAUUUUUUAUGGGACACCCCCAUGUCUUUGGAGUGGGCAGAGGGUGUAUUCUACAUUGUCCUAUAAUUUUCUGUGUAUGCUGUAGUUAUUAUGAAAGACUUCAUUGCUGACUUUGAGCUCAAACAAGAAAGCUACCAUUACCAUCAUUUUUUAUGUGUGCAAUGGGCAACUCUCAAUUAUGUACCUCUUAUAUUUGUCUGUUUUAAUUAGUAGAUUUAUAGAACCAAAAUGCCAUUUUGAAUAAUUACUACAAAAAAAUGUUGUUGUUUGUUUGUUGCUACAAAGCAUCCAAGACAGAAAUUAAAUGUUUACAUUACUUGUAAAAUGAAUUAAAUACUUGUUCACACUUUUAAUAAAAGUUCCUUUCUCACUC